rnacentral:rRNA from 1 species
CANUGGAGGAACUCUGAUGCAGCGACGCCGCGUGAGUGAAGAAGUAUUUCGGUAUGUAAAGCUCUAUCAGCAGGGNAAGAAAAUGACGGUACCUGCACUAAGAAGCCCCGGCUAACUACGUGCCAGCAGCCGCGGUAAUACGUAGGGGGCAAGCGUUAUCCGGAUUUACUGGGUGUAAAGGGAGCGUAGACGGCGACGCAAGUCUGAAGUGAAAUACCCGGGCUCAACCUGGGAACUGCUUUGGAAACUGUGUUGCUAGAGUGCUGGAGAGGUAAGCGGAAUUCCUAGUGUAGCGGUGAAAUGCGUAGAUAUUAGGAAGAACACCAGUGGCGAAGGCGGCUUACUGGACAGUAACUGACGUUGAGGCUCGAAAGCGUGGGGAGCAAACAGGAUUAGAUACCCUGGUAGUCCAAGGGCGAAUUC